rnacentral:rRNA from 1 species
CCCUUAGAUGUUCUGGGCCGCACGCGUGCUACACUGAACGGUUCAAUGGGUGAGGUAGUGCGAAAGCAUGACCUAAUCUCGAAAUCCGUUCGUGCUGGGGAUAGAAGCUUGCAAUUAUCCUUCUUGAACGAGGAAUACCUUGUAAGCGUGAGUCAUCAUCUCACGCUGAAUACGUCCCUGCCCUUUGUACACACCGCCCGUCGCUCCUACCGAUUGAGUGUUCCGGUGAGGCUUUGGGAGAAUGGCCUCAACAUGAGUUUAUCGUGUUUUGCCGUUUGAACUUAGUCAAACCUUAUCACUUAGAGGAAGGAGAAGUCGUAACA